CCGAGUGGUAAAGCAAGGAGUUAUGGCGUUGCGAACUUGUCGCACAACGACCAAACAAAAAGCCAACACAUGCAAGGGGAAAGAACAUUAAGUGCUGAGUGCAAAACUAGUGGCGGACGGGUGAGUAACGCGUGGGCAACCUACCCAUAAGAGGGGGAUAACAGCUGGAAACGGCUGCUAAUACCGCAUAAGCUUAGCUGGACGCAUGUUUGGUUAAGUAGAGGAGGCUUAGGCUUCCGCUUAUGGAUGGGCCCGCGUCUGAUUAGCUAGUUGGUAGGGUAACGGCCUACCAAGGCGACGAUCAGUAGCCGGCCUGAGAGGGUGUACGGCCACACUGGGACUGAGACACGGCCCAGACUCCUACGGGAGGCAGCAGUGGGGAAUAUUGCGCAAUGGGGGAAACCCUGACGCAGCGACGCCGCGUGAGCGAAGAAGGCCUUCGGGUUGUAAAGCUCUGUUGUAAGGGACGAAGGAUUGGGGUAGUAACUGACCCCAAGGUGACGGUACCUUACGAGGAAGCCCCGGCUAACUACGUG
rnacentral:rRNA from 1 species